AGGAGAAAGAAGAAGAGAGUGGAGAGUCUAUAAACUUGAAUUGAGCAUUUUCAUUCACUUGCUGCCUCAGCUUGGUUUUCAGACUGCAAAUAAGAGAGACAAAGUUACAAAGCUGGAACAAAGUGAAUUCAUAAACAGUGUUAAAAAUUUAAGUCUUUUGAGAUUGUUUCA